AACUUUUAGCAAAGGAUCUCUUGGUUCUGGCAUCGAUGAAGAACGCGGCGAAAUGCGAUAAGUAAUGUGAAUUGCAGAAUUCAGUAAAUCAUCGAAUCUUUGAACGCACAUUGCGCCCGGUGGUAUUCCGCCGGGCAUGCCUGUUCGAGCGUCAUUUAAACCAAUCCAGCCUCGUGCUUGGGUCUUGGGCCUUUCGCCUCUGGGCGGGCCUUAAAAUCAGUGGCGGUGCCAUCUGGCUCUAAGCGUAGUAAUACUCCUCGCUAUAGACGUCUGGUGGUGUCUUGCCAAUAACCCCUAAUUUUUACAGGUUGACCUCGGAUCAGGUAGGGAUACCCGCUGAACUUAAGCAUAUCAAUAAGCGGAGGCU
rnacentral:misc_RNA from 1 species